rnacentral:lncRNA from 1 species
AGUGGGAAAGCGUUUGUGUUUCUAUCCUUGGAGCUCCAAGUGGGACUUCUUAAAAGAUUUAGAAGGAGCAAAGCUGUCAGGAAAUCAGAAACGUCACAUGGACUCCAUGACUGGGAAAAACCUCGUGGUGGCCUGCUCUCAGUGCUUGGAUGUGUGCUAGUUACAUCUCGGAGAGAGCCGAGUUCUGUCACCACAGACAUUGGCAGUGGCACUUGCAUGCCCCUGGCAAGCAGUCUAUCCUGAGGUGGAGGAAGUUGCCCUUGAGUUCUGGCUGGUAACCAGCACAGUAUACCCUUUAAGCGUUCCAGAAGGAUUUUGAGAUCCUUUCCUAAAUCAAAGGUGGAAUAUUUGGGGAUUUGGAAAAUUGAGCCAGUCUCUCAGAAGAACCAGUUGUGUUACUUUGCUGUGAGAUGCCUGCCCUAAGAGAGGAGCAGAAGGUCGGAACGGGUCCUCUAAUGUGAUAAUUAGAUGUGAAGCGUUGACUUAAGAGAUGCCAAGUAACUCAGCAGAUGUCACACAGACGAUAAAUAGCAAAGAUGGAAGUCUUCAUGCCGGAGGCAAUCCUAUAAGACAGCUGAGUUCUGCAGAGCUGGUAGGAGACAGACUUGCUCAGGUGAUAGAUCCAGCCAUGAUACUGACCCUAAGAGAAUGAGACGCUCUGCAGAAGACAGAAGAUUCCUGAAACUGGGAAAGGUGCCUAGAAAUCCUGAUAAGAGUGAAGAAGGGUACCUGGAGGCACAGCAGCCAUGUUGAACCUAUGAGGUGAUGAAAAACCAUGCAACUAGAAACCAGAAUGGAAGAAAAGAAGAAGCUGGAUCCUUGACUGAAUUGUCGAUGGGGGAUAGUCCAUCAUCCCAGGGCUAAGACCACCUCCAGAUUUCUUGUUUGGUGAAACAAGUCCUGAUUGUUUACAUUCCCUCGUGUUGAGCUGUCUCUUGCUUGUAGCUGAAAGCAUUUCUAAUAGAUAUUCAGAUUAUCAGCCUUAGCUCCAAGCUAGAAUACUCUAUGGGACCUUAGCUUCUCCAUGAAUUCCUUUGCUCAUCUGUGUAAUGCUCAAUAAAUGUAAAUUGAACCCUGAAUGAGGGACAAUGACA